GCUCGGUCUCCGAAGCCUCGUGCAGCCCGCAGGCUGACUCCUGCCUGACAGGCCCUGCGCAGCCCCUGCCUGCCGAGGGAGAGGAGAAAGGGGGCGGGGAUGAGACCCUCGGGGAAGAGGCCUUGGCAGCGGAGUGGGUGUCACGGAGAGCGAGGCCAGGGGCGCUGAGCAUUGGGCUAGAAGAUCAGGAGAGGCCAGGGAACACUUGGCGUGGGCAUUUGGACAUAGGACAUCAGGGACUGUCUGGGGAUGGGGGCCGAAUUUCUCCCCAGCUGCAGUUCUCUGUCUAAGCCAGGAUUUCUGGACCUCAGCACCACUGGCAUCUGGGGCCAGCGUCCCUGAAGAAGAAAUGCCAGACGUGGGCGUGGAAGAGGAGGAGGAGGCUGGGGUCGUGCAGGGUUCAGGCAGAGCCUCUGGAAGCAACAGGAAGGAGAGAAACACUCCUGGGCCCUGAUGGAGCUGCUGAUUUGUACUUCGAGGAUUAAGACUUCUUGGCACUUUGCCUCUGCUGAACAUGGCUUCGCCUUUAACAACAGUUGCCCUAUUGAAGCCAGGGUGUCAUGGCAUAUUCUAGGAGGCUGAGACAGGAAGACUGUAAGUUUGAGCCCAGCCCUGGCAACUUAGCAAGGACCUGUGUUUUUAAAAUUAAAAA